AUGCUUUCACAACUUGACUUCAAAAUAUUUGGUUUGGAGACCAUCAAAGAUCAAUAUGUGCAUGAUGCUGAUUUUAAAGAUGUAAUGCAUAAUUGUAAAGAAGGACGAAUGUGGAACAAGUUUGUUGUUAACGAUGGAUUUGUGUUUCGUGCUAACAAGCUAUGCAUUCCAGCUAGCUCCGUUCGUCUUUUGUUGUUGCAGGAGGCGCAUGGAGGAGGAUUAAUGGGACACUUUGGCGUGAAGAAGACGGAGGACGUACUUGCUACACAUUUCUUUUGGCCAAAGAUGAGACGGGAUGUUGAGCGGGCUGUUUUGAAGAAUAAUAAGAAAAUGUGGGAAGAAUGCUUGCCUCAUAUUGAGUUUGCUUAUAAUCAUUCAUUGCAUUCUACUACUAAGAUGUGCCCUUUUGAAAUUGUGUAUGGUUUCCUACCUCGUGCACCUAUUGAUUUGUUGCCUCUUCCAUCUUCGGAGAAGGUUAAUUUUGAUGCUAAACAAUGUGCUGAAUUGAUCUUAAAAAUGCAUGAGUUAACUAAGGAAAACAUUGAGCGUAUGAAUGCUAAAUAUAAACUUGCUGGAGAUAAGGGUAGAAAACAUGUUGUGUUUGCACCUGGAGAUCUUGUUUGGUUACAUUUGCGUAAGGAUAGAUUUCCUGAUUUGCGCAAAUCAAAGCUAAUGCCACGUGUUGAUGGUCCUUUUAAGGUGUUAGAGAAAAUAAAUGAUAAUGCAUAUAAACUUGAGCUGCCUGCAGAUUUUGGGGUUAGUCCCACUUUUAACAUUGCAGAGUUGAAGCCUUAUUUGGGUGAGGAAGAUGAGCUUCCGUCGAGGACGACUUCAUUUCAAGAAGGGGAGGAUGAUGAGGACAUCAAUACCAUUGUUACACCCACAGGCCCUGCUGCUAUACAUACUGGACCAAUUACUAGAGCUCGCGCACGCCAAUUAAAUUACCAGGAAACAGACCCUCGUGGUCAGGUUAAUCGUGCUCCGGCGUGGUCGAUAACCUCUCGGAGUUGGUUUAGCGAUUGCUAA
rnacentral:rRNA from 1 species